GGCCCCGUAGCUCAGUGGUUAGAGCACUGGUUUGGUAAACCAGAGGUUGUGGGUUCGUAUUCCCACUGGGGCCU